GAUCAUGGCUCAGGAUGAACGCUGGCGGCGUGCUUAACACAUGCAAGUCGAACGAAGCAUUUAAGACAGAUUUUUUCGGAAUGAAGUUUUUUAUGACUGAGUGGCGGACGGGUGAGUAACGCGUGGGUAACCUGCCUCACACAGGGGGAUAGCAGUUGGAAACGACUGGUAAUACCGCAUAAGCGCACAGCUUCGCAUGAAGCGGUGUGAAAAACUCCGGUGGUGUGAGAUGGACCCGCG
rnacentral:rRNA from 1 species